GGGAAGCUGGUAUAUCGGCAGUACGCUCGUCUUAAGUACGAAGAGAAGCGGGUUCGACUCCUGCGCUUUCCA